GAUGAACGCUAGCGGCAGGCCUAACACAUGCAAGUCGAACGGCAGCACGAGAAGCUUGCUUCUUGGUGGCGAGUGGCGGACGGGUGAGUAACGCGUAGGAAUCUACCUUAUAGUGGGGGACAACCCGGGGAAACUCGGGCUAAUACCGCAUAAUCUCUACGGAGCAAAGCGGGGGACUUUCGGGCCUCGCGCUAUUAGAUGAGCCUGCGUCAGAUUAGCUUGUUGGUGGGGUAAAGGCCUACCAAGGCUACGAUCUGUAGCUGGUCUGAGAAGAUGAUCAGCCACACUGGGACUGAGAUACGGCCC
rnacentral:rRNA from 1 species